rnacentral:lncRNA from 1 species
GCUGAAUCAAAUUUUUAUUUAGUAACAGAAGUUAGAACUGAGGACAUAUUAACACAUUACAUUUGUGUGCACACAUACAUGUACAUAUAUAUGAGAAUGCACAUGCCACAAUGCGUGGAGGUCAGAACACACCUUGCAGGAGUCAGUUCUUUCCUCCCACCACGUGGGUUUCAGAGAUCAGACUCAGAUGGUCAGGCAUGUUAGCAGGCGUCUGAACCCACUGAGAACUCCAUGCAGGCCCCACUAAUAGAUUGUUUUGAGACAAUGUCUCCCUCUGUAGCCCAGGCUAGCUUCAAACUGUCAGUUAUCCUCUUGCCUCGGUUUUCAGUGUUGGAAUUACUGGUAUGUGUUUCCAUGGGAUUUCUUUCUCCCAGCACUGGCAAUUGACAAGGAAACUAGCCAAAAGCUGUACCAUUAUUCUACCAAAAACAUUCCCAGCCCCAAACAUCACAACCCUCAAAGAGUAACCUUUACACAAAUGUAAUAGUAAAUUUUGUUUGUUUUUUUUUUUAAGCACUCUUGGCCUAGCGUGCUACACACACCUGUAAAACCAAGCUACUGGGAAAGUUCAAAUUGAAAGAUUUUGAGCUGUAGGCUAGCAUUAUCAAAAAAGGGAGACUCCACCUCAAAAUAACCAAACUAACACUGUACACUAGUUCUACCUAUAGAGAGGUUGACAGCAUCGGCAAGGACUGACCUGUCUGCUACAUUUGCCCGUGGUCUAAUCCCUAAGAAAUAUAACCAGAUCUUAAAACCCUUAGUAUUUCCCAAACAUUCAAGAAAUGCCCAGUAAAAUAGUCAAAUUGUCCUUUUUACACAAUCAAGUCCUUUAAAAACACUAAUUACUACUUUGGUCUUGGUUACUUACCUCCUCUCAGUCAUAGCAGGCAGUCUAUGGGACUACUCAGCUCUAACCAUUGUAUCCCAUACACACUCAGUUAUCAUGGUAAAGAAAACACAUCUCAAACACAAAGGACACACCAAAGGCCAGAGUUUUCCUUCUGAUUGUUAUAUAUACACACUUCACAGGUUUAUUAUUAUUAUUAUUUAAAAAAUCUGUACACUUCACAAGACAGUACAAAUUAGCUACAAUCUGCUAGUUACACAUUAGGGCAUUAACAGAGCCCAUGAUUUCUGCCCUAAAACAGGCAUCUGUGCUACUCCAACUCUCUGAAAAGAGAUUUUCUCAACUCAUGUCAUUUGGCCCAGGCACCUCCUCUUCUGUAAUUCCACUUCUGGACUCCCUGCUUCUCAGCCUUUUGACUAAGAUCAAGUGUGGAACUGAGCCCACAAGCCCAAGCUAAAGUAUCUUGCUUAUUUCUAUUUCAGGCUCAGCUCAAAGAGGGCAUUCACUUCUUCAUCUUCAUAUCUGCUUCAAUGGCACAGCGGCGUCCCCUGGUUCCCCCAUCCUAGACAACAUCAAAGAAAGGAAGAACACAUGAGUGAGUUGCUUACAUGGUAAGAGAUGAGGUACAGCAGGAAUGCUGGGAACUUGAUUUCUUGGGGCAAAGAAUCUGCAGAGAAUACCGGAGGGAUGAGGUGGAAGGGAUUUCCUGUUCUCCCACAGAGUAGCUAAAAGAAGACCUGGUAUUUUGUGAGUGAUACUGUAAGACAGUGUUGUCUUCAUGUCCUCAAAAUCCACCUGGUGCCCCACAGAAUGACUACCAGUCAUCCCACCCGGGCGGGCUCAAUUGUGUGAAAAGAAAUAGUAGAGAAAAUGAAAGGUGGGAUAGGCAGAAAGGGCAGUGGAUAGUGAGGUGCUUGGCUAACAUACCUGUCCAGUUGUUGGUCCCUAUAAGAAAGGCCUUUCCUGCAGACUGACCCUGGCACUAGUUCCCUAGCACCUCCUGACAGUUGUUUUCCAUGACAUCAGGACAAUCAGGCUUCAUUCCAUCUGCUGCUCUCUCCCUGUAGCCCAGAUCCUUCCUCUUGUGCAAAACUCUGCUGUCUUCGAUAGAUACAAGAUCCUAUUAACCAGCCUUGCAAUAGCCAGCCACUCGAAUGAGGAUCCAGUCACUGUUGCAGGCCAAUAAGAAAGAACAGAGAUCACGGUGUUCUUCUGCCCGUGGUACAGCUCUACAGGCAAGAUGAACUAGUGAACACUUUUGCUGGACCAGACCAGUUUUGCAUUUCUAAUAUGCAAGGAUUAAAAAAUUUUAGAACACAAGUUGCCAAUAGCCAACAGUAAGAAUAGAAAUAACACCUUGCAUUUGUGUAAGAUUUUAAUUUGUUUUCAAGUUAGUUUCAUAACUUAUUUUACCCUCACAACAUCCCUGUGAGGUAGGCUGGACAGGUAUCUCAAUCUUACUCUUUUUUUUUCAAUUAUUCUUUUUUUUUGUUUUAAAGACUUGUUUUCAUUUUAUAUGUACGAAUGUUUGGCCUACAUGUGUAUAUGUGCACCACAAGUGUACAGUGCCUGUGAGGGCCAGAAAAGGGCCUUGGAUUCCUUAAAACUGGAAUUACAGGCAGUUGUAAGCCACCAGGUGGUUGUUGGAAACCCAACCCAGAUCUUCUCAGAGCAGCAAGCGUUCUUAACUGCUGGGUCACCUCUCUAGUAUUCCCACAUGUUUUCUUUUGAGACAAGGUCUUACUCUGUGUACUACGUAUGCAUUGAUUCUGCAGGCAAUUCUCCUGCCUUUCAACUCAUAGUUACUUCUAUCACAUAGAUGGAAAAUUAAGGCUCUCAAAGGUUAUCCAGUGAUCGUAGAACCAUAGUUUUUGAGCAAGGUCUUUCCCUCACUUCAUUGCUCUACCAUGAACAAGGUCAGUCUUUUAACUCAUGGAAUAAACAAACAAAAGCCUUGGGGCUAGAUCUAUUGUGUUUAUCUAUAAUCCAUAAGCUAUUAUUGUAUCUGGUGGUCACUAUUAUUGUAUGUGGCAUAUGUAUGGGAGCACACAUGCCAUGGUGCACAUGUGGAGUUCAGAGGACACCUCUGUGGAGCAUUCUUCUUCUACCUUCAGUGGGGUACUGGGAAUCAAACUCAGGUCAGCAGACUACCAUGGCAAGUGCCUGUACCCACUGUAUCAUCUCACCUGCCCUUGCUGCUCUGAGCUGUCUUCCAUUGUAAGUUAAGAAUUGGUAAAAAGUGGAAGCAAGAAAUGAGGAGCAGGUGCAUCCUAGGUCUUUACCCCAAGAAUAUUUCAUAGUCCAAUCCAGUGAUCUUGAAAGUUGCCCCUCCCAACCCCGCCACACUCACACAAGCAAAGAGACCAGAAUGCAGAAGACAAAGAGUUUCCUAUUCAAUGGAUAAAAAAAGAACUUCAAGACAUUGCCACAGUCUGCAUGUUGGAUUUCCCUCUGUCACCCAGGCCCAGCAGGAGCUGAGAAUCUUUCUGGCAACAUCACCACUUGCAGCCAUUCAAUACUUACAAAGAGAGAGAGAAGGAAGGCAGGAGAGCCCAUGGGGACACUGUCCUGUUAGAGGACAAACAAAUACUGAUCAGGUUCCACAGAAACUCUCAGCCACAAGUAUCCCAAACCUCAGGACAGAGACAAAAGCACCAUACACACAAAACAAAGACAAAAUUUUAAAACUCAAGAACAAGAGGAAAGAGAUCCCACAGCCAUCUAGCCGUAUCUAGCAGCCAACUGCUGUGAACUAAUCUAUCC